UGGGGAAUAUUGCACAAUGGACGAAAGUCUGAUGCAGCGACGCCGCGUGAGGGAAGAAGGUAUUCGUAUUGUAAACCUCUGUCUUCGGGGACGAUAAUGACGGUACCCGAGGAGGAAGCCACGGCUAACUACGUGCCAGCAGCCGCGGUAAAACGUAGGUGGCAAGCGUUGUCCGGAAUUACUGGGUGUAAAGGGAGCGCAGGCGGAAAGGCAAGUUGAAUGUGAAAUCUAUGGGCUCAACCCAUAAAUUGCGUUCAAAACUGUUUUUCUUGAGUGAUGUAGAGGCAAGCGGAAUUCCUGGUGUAGCGGUGGAAUGCGUAGAUAUCAGGAGGAACACCGGUGGCGAAGGCGGCUUGCUGGGCAUCUACUGACGCUGAGGCUCGAAAGCAUGGGUAGCAAACA
rnacentral:rRNA from 1 species